GACGAACGCUGGCGGCGUGCUUAACACAUGCAAGUCGAACGGAAAGGCCCCUUUGGGGGUACUCGAGUGGCGAACGGGUGAGUAACACGUGAGUAACCUGCCCUUGACUUCGGGAUAACUUCAGGAAACUGGGGCUAAUACCGGAUAGGAAUCCUUGCUGCAUGGUGGGGGUUGGAAAGCUUCGGCGGUUUUGGAUGGACUCGCGGCUUAUCAGCUUGUUGGUGGGGUAGUGGCUUACCAAGGCUUUGACGGGUAGCCGGCCUGAGAGGGCGACCGGCCACAUUGGGACUGAGAUACGGCCCAGACUCCUACGGGAGGCAGCAGUGGGGAAUAUUGCACAAUGGGCGGAAGCCUGGUGCAGCAACGCCGCGUGCGGGAUGACGGCCUUCGGGUUGUAAACCGCUUUCAGCAGGGGCGAAGCUUGUGGUGACGGUACCUGCAGAAGAAGCACCGGCUAACUACGUG
rnacentral:rRNA from 1 species